rnacentral:rRNA from 1 species
UACAGAGGGUGCGAGCGUUAAUCGGAAUUACUGGGCGUAAAGCGCGCGUAGGCGGCUUUGCAAGUCGGGUGUGAAAUCCCCAGGCUUAACCUGGGAACUGCAUUCGAGACUGCAUUGCUAGAGUAUGGGAGAGGGAAGUGGAAUUUCCGGUGUAGCGGUGAAAUGCGUAGAUAUCUGGAGGAACACCGGUGGCGAAGGCGACAUCCUGGACCGGUAUUGACGCUGAGGCGCGAAAGCCAGGGGAGCAAACGGG